CCUACGGGGGACAGCAGUGAGGAAUAUUGGUCAAUGGCCGGAAGGCUGAACCAGCCAUGCCGCGUGAAGGUCAGUGCCCUAUGGGCGUUAAACUUCUUUUGUGCGGGAGCAAUAAUGGUCACGUGUGGCCAGACGAGAGUACCGUACGAAUAAGCAUCGGCUAACUCCGUGCCAGCAGCCGCGGUAAUACGGGGGAUGCAAGCGUUAUCCGGAUUUAUUGGGUGUAAAGGGUGCGUAGGCUGUGAGGUAAGUCAGCGGUGAAAUGCCCCCGCUCAACGGGGUGAAGUGCCAUUGAUACUGGCGUGCUGGAAUGCGGAUGCCGUGGGAGGAAUGUGUGGUGUAGCGGUGAAAUGCAUAGAUAUCACACAGAACACCGAUUGCGAAGGCAUCUCACGAAGCCGCGAUUGACGCUGAUGCACGAAAGCGUGGGUAUCAAACAGGAUUAGAUACCCCAGUAGUC
rnacentral:rRNA from 1 species